UAGGUGAUAGUUCUGUAGGGUUC
rnacentral:piRNA from 1 species